rnacentral:lncRNA from 1 species
CAAGGAAAGAUUGGACAAAUUUACUGUAACACGCCUCAACUUUGCCAGAAUCUAUGAUCCCCUCGAUUAUUUAUUAUCAUAUUUUUAUGACAUAUUUUGCACAGUUGGACCACUACGUGAAUACACACACUGGACACGUAAGGGUCUGAAGUGGUUCAACUGGAUAAAUAUAUGCAACAAAGAUAUGGUAAUAAAUAAUGGGGAAAGGACGAAUAGUCACUCGGCUAAAAUAAUUCCGGUCGAGUGGCCAUUGAUUUUUAAAUUCCAAAAUAUAGCUAUUUA